GGUGGCUCAGUGUUAGAGCGCUUGCCUUGCAUGCAUGAGGCCUUGGGUUUGCUUCCUUAGCACCA
rnacentral:tRNA from 1 species